AAUGUGAUUUCUGGAUCAUAUGGUAAGAAUAUGUUUAUUUUUGUAAGAAACUGCCAAACUGUCUUCUAAAGUGGCUGUACCAUUUCAUAGUCCCACCAGCAUU
rnacentral:pre_miRNA from 1 species